rnacentral:rRNA from 1 species
AUUGAACGCUGGCGGCAGGCCUAACACAUGCAAGUCGAGCGGCAGCGGGAAAGUAGCUUGCUACUUUUGCCGGCGAGCGGCGGACGGGUGAGUAAUGCCUGGGGAUCUGCCCAGUCGAGGGGGAUAACUACUGGAAACGGUAGCUAAUACCGCAUACGCCCUACGGGGGAAAGCAGGGGACCUUCGGGCCUUGCGCGAUUGGAUGAACCCAGGUGGGAUUAGCUAGUUGGUGAGGUAAUGGCUCACCAAGGCGACGAUCCCUAGCUGGUCUGAGAGGAUGAACAGCCACACUGGAACUGAGACACGGUCCAGACUCCUACGGGAGGCAGCAGUGGGGAAUAUUGCACAAUGGGGGAAACCCUGAUGCAGCCAUGCCGCGUGUGUGAAGAAGGCCUUCGGGUUGUAAAGCACUUUCAGCGAGGAGGAAAGGUUGGUAGCUAAUAGUACACACCUUUGACGUUACUCGCAGAAGAAGCACCGGCUAACUCUGUGCCAGCCGCCGCCGUAAAAC